UGGGGAAUAUUGGACAAUGGGGGCAACCCUGAUCCAGCGAUGCCGCGUGUGUGAAGAAGGCCUUAGGGUUGUAAAGCACUUUAGGUGGGGAAGAAGUUAAGUCGUUGAAUAGACGAUUUGGUUGACGGUACCCGCAGAAUAAGCACCGGCUAACUCUGUGCCAGCAGCCGCGGUAAUACAGAGGGUGCAAGCGUUAAUCGGAGUUACUGGGCGUAAAGGGCGCGUAGGCGGUUGUUCAAGUGAGAUGUGAAAUCCCCGGGCUUAACCUGGGAACAGCAUUUUAGACUGAGUGACUGGAGUACAGUAGAGGGUGGUGGAAUUUCCGGUGUAGCGGUGAAAUGCGUAGAGAUCGGAAGGAACAUCAGUGGCGAAGGCGACCACCUGGACUGAAACUGACGCUGGGGCGCGAAAGCGUGGGGAGCAAACAGG
rnacentral:rRNA from 1 species